rnacentral:rRNA from 1 species
GAGUUUGAUCCUGGCUCAGAUUGAACGCUGGCGGCAGGCCUAACACAUGCAAGUCGAGCGGAUGACGGGAGCUUGCUCCUUGAUUCAGCGGCGGACGGGUGAGUAAUGCCUAGGAAUCUGCCUGGUAGUGGGGGACAACGUUUCGAAAGGAACGCUAAUACCGCAUACGUCCUACGGGAGAAAGCAGGGGACCUUCGGGCCUUGCGCUAUCAGAUGAGCCUAGGUCGGAUUAGCUAGUUGGUGGGGUAAUGGCUCACCAAGGCGACGAUCCGUAACUGGUCUGAGAGGAUGAUCAGUCACACUGGAACUGAGACACGGUCCAGACUCCUACGGGAGGCAGCAGUGGGGAAUAUUGGACAAUGGGCGAAAGCCUGAUCCAGCCAUGCCGCGUGUAGUGAAGAAGGUCUUCGGAUUGUAAAGCACUUUAAGUUAGGGUAGGAAGGGC